rnacentral:rRNA from 1 species
ACGAACGCUGGCGGCGUGCUUAACACAUGCAAGUCGAACGGAAAGGCCCUGCUUUUGUGGGGUGCUCGAGUGGCGAACGGGUGAGUAACACGUGAGUAACCUGCCCUUGACUUUGGGAUAACUUCAGGAAACUGGGGCUAAUACCGGAUAGGAGCUCCUGCUGCAUGGUGGGGGUUGGAAAGUUUCGGCGGUUGGGGAUGGAUUCGCGGCUUAUCAGCUUGUUGGUGGGGUAGUGGCUUACCAAGGCUUUGACGGGUAGCCGGCCUGAGAGGGUGACCGGCAACAUUGGGACUGAGAUACGGCCCAGACUCCUACGGGAGGCAGCAGUGGGGAAUAGUGCACAAUGGGCGGAAGCCUGAUGCAGCAACGCCGCGUGCGGGAUGACGGCCUUCGGGUUGUAAACCGCUUUCGCCUGUGACGAAGCGUGAGUGACGGUAAUGGGUAAAGAAGCACCGGCUAACUACGUG